rnacentral:rRNA from 1 species
UACGUAGGUGGCAAGCGAUACUCGGAAUCACUAGGCGUAAAGCGCAGGUAGGAGGUUUGGUAAGUCUGUUGUGAAAGCUCCCGGCUUAACUGGGAGAGGUCAACGGAAACUACCAGGCUAGAGUGCGGUAGAGGUAGCUGGAAUUCCCGGUGUAGCGGUGAAAUGCGUAGAUAUCAGGAGGAACACCAAUGGCGAAGGCAGCUCGCUGGAACGGUACUGACGCUGGAGGCGACGGAAAGCGUGGGGAGCAAACAGG